CUGUCGAUUAACUCAACUCUUUGGAUAAGGUAUUUGUGAAUGACCAAUUCCUCAACUGGGAUCCCGAGCAUCGAAUCAAAGUUCAAAUUGUCUCUGCAAGGGCCUAUCAUUCCCUGUUCAUGCACAACAUGUGCAUCCGUCCUACGCCUGAAG